CGAUUAAUCGCUGAGAAAAAAAAAAAUUAGUUUUGUUGAUGCAAUGAAUUUAUGUGCAGUAAUUAGUGUUAACUUAACGAGUCAAACUGAAAUGGAUCCAAUUAAAGUAAAUUUAGUAAAGUAUAUUUUAGUUAAAAAGCUUUUGACAUCAGUGAUUUUAAUUGUGUGUGUGUGUGUGUGUGUGUGUGAAUAUUCCUAUUUUAAAGUUUUGACUCUGACACACUAGUACGUUGUGUUUCUGAAACCAGAAAUACUGAUUUUUAUAUUAUUAUUAUUGUUAUUCUAUUUGGUUCAAUUCAUUUCAGAUUUUAUUCAUUCUUCGUACUAAUGAAUAUUUAAAGGUUUUGCGUAUUGAAAAAUGUGGAAUGAGUUUACAGUUUUUCACAAAGUAUUUGUUUGUAAAAAAAACCCAAGAGACAUUUCACAUUUUUACUUUAGUUAUUUUAAAAAUAAACAUCAGGUGAUUGAGUUUUUUUUUUACUUACAGGAACUGAUGGGAAAUGUAGUUGUUAAAGAUCAGAGUCCAGUCGACUGUGUGUGUGUGUGUGUGUGUGAGUGAGUGUGUUUGUGAAUUAGUAAAUACUUUUCUAUGUCCUCAUAAUUGUACAUAUAGUUGAAGUCAGGCCGUGUGUGUGUGUGUGUGUGUGUGUGUGUGUGUAGAUUCUGAAGUGCUUCCUCGUUUCUCUACUCACUAAGGUCUAGUAGCCUCCUAGAGUCCAGCUGUACAUUGACCUCUGUCCACUCGUACCACUCGACCGACCUGUUGUGUUUGUACAGAAAAUAACUGAUGCAUGAAAAAACACUAUAUUGGUAUUUCACACGUUAUAUCCGAGGUGUAUUUGUUUGAUCCACGCUCCUGAUCUUUGCUUUUCUUUAUCUCUCCUGGAGAUUCUGUCUCCAAACGGCCACUUUGAUUUGACUUUUAAUUUUAUGUUGUAUUGUAAAGAGAUGAACCAAUCUCCAUAGAUUUUGAUGAGCCCGUAAUAAAUGAUGAUGAUAUCUGACUGGCCUCCAGGGCGGAUCUGUUUGUUGGUACGAUUCCUGUUCAGAGAUCUGAAGAAGUGAAGAGUGAAGGGAAAAAAUGGGGGGAAAGAAAGGGGUUAGGAGGGGAGAGAAGAGAAGGGUCUGAUGAAUAACACAUUCGUCAGAGAGGCUCCAUGCAGUACGUGCAGUACAAAGUUUAACAGUAGUGGAAACAUAACUGCUAACAACUGGUGACAGUCGUAACGGCAGCGUCAGGUCUGGCUUUGAUUUUUACAGGAACCUGUGAAGUGAAGGUAGGUCACUGGUUCAUAUAGUGUGGACUAACUGAACUGUCAACACCACAAGGAGACCUGGGAUUUCAGGCAGACAAGAACGACACAGGGUGAGAUGAAGACAGAAGAAUCUGCUCCGGCGACCCCUACAGGAAGCAGCGGAAAGAUGAGGAAGAAAGGCGUUGAUGGAAGAAGGAGGAGGAGGAAGAGGAGGAGGAGGAGGAGGAGGAGGAUGGAGUUAACAUCAGAAUUUAAGGCAAGUUUAAGAUUGAAAAUGAUCGAAUGACCUUGACAUGGAAAAAAAGACAACCUUUUUCAGUCAGCGCUGAAGAUGUUCUCUUCUGUCAACUUGUUUAAUCACUGCUCAACAAAUCCUUCUAAUUUGGUUGACCUACAGAUGGAUAAUCCCAUGUACGGUGAGGGAUUACAGGGAUUACCAAUGAAGCACUCGGAGAGAAAGAGGAUUAUCUUGACAAAUUUUCUCUUUGUCUUUGUUCACUUUCAGCUUUUCCUGUUACACUUGCAGACAGGCCAUCUACACACGAGUACUACUACAUUGUCAGCAGUACUUCUGAAGAACUCUAGUACCCAGAGACGACACGUUUUACCCUGAAGCUGGACCAGACCAGACCAGACCAGACCAGACAGAGUGCUGAGAAACUCUUGAACACCGUCAGGUGCAGCCAGGACGUGUUUUCCCGUGAUGUCGCAGCGGGAUCCCAUCAACACGCACGCACGGCCCCGUGCACGAGGCCGAGCAGCGCGGCCAGCAGAGAGCUGCAUAAAUGACGUCCAUGACUCAGAGCUGCAAACAGCAGUGAGAUGGAGGACGAAGGCACGGACAGAGCAGCUUCACCGUGGACCGUGGACCGUGGACCGUGGACCGUCACCCCCGUCCACGCCCACACUGACUCUGCAUCGGUGCACGUGUGUGUGUGAGGGGGAGAGAAAGAGAGAGUCAGCUGCCUCUGGCCUCUGGACCUACCUCUCCAUCCCCCAACCCUUCAUCCCUCCUCCCACCCCUGGUGGACGGAACACGGAGGCCUGACCUCCGCGCCUUCAGACAAGGGAAAAGCGUCUUUGACUGAUUUGGCCACAAAGACGUCUCGCUAUGAUCUUUGUUCCGGCUGAAAAGCAGGGUGUGUGUGAGAGGCAUUGUGCACAGAUUUUGCCUGCCCUGUCCUGAAAUAUUACAGUCCAUUCAGCAGACUGUUCAGUGUUCAGUGAUAUGGAAAUGAAGCAGCAGUCAGCCACGUCACGGUCAGUGGUUCCAGGGCUCAAAGUGCCAACCAACUAUUCAAACAACUAAUCAACAGAGAAACUAUCUAUCUAUCCAUCUAUCUGUCUAUCUAUCUAACCAACCUGUCAGUUUUUGUCUUGUCAUAUAUUUUUUACCAUCCCUUUAAAAUGCAUUUUAAAGGAUACCUUAAAAAAGAAGGCAGGCCUCAGGGAACCAAUGACAAUGCUUAAACCUGUCACGUGACUUUCAGGAAGUUGUAUUGAGACACCUUGCUGCCAUGUUGCUCCACAAAAUGUUUGUGAAAAGUGAAUUUCCUGACACGCUGCAGUGAAUCCUCCACACCUGUAGGUGAGUCAACCUCCAGACUUGACAGUUGAAUGACAUUUAUUUGCUAAGAAACUUUUGCAAUGAGGCAAAAACCUUUGAAAAGCUGCACAAGUUGCCUUGAGUCACCAAGUUACAUACUUAGUAAGUUAACUUUUUUCCUUCCUUAAAAUCAGAAACGUCAUCAAUAACUUUGCAGGUUUACAAUUGGUCAAAACACAAGUCAAUGUCUCAGUCUUUGUUAUUAUGUAGUAGAUUCCGUUCCAUUAGUUGUUUAAUAUUUAAUGAAGACAUUUUAUCUGUGGUAUUUAACCACUACUUGCUGCUUUCUUCCAUUUUUUUAUAUUUAUAUAGUUCUUAAAAGUUCUGCAGGAAUAAAACUCACUGAUAUAAAAG